rnacentral:sRNA from 1 species
UCCGACCAACGAACAUACUAAUGGCCAAGACGGUAAUGAUGAGAGCAU